GUGGGAUGCGCUAGCCGCGUCCCUGCUCAGGCGGAGGGAUCCCGGCCCGCCGCCAGGGUUUCGAGUCCGGGGCCAGGCAGGCGUGGAGGGGGUGGGAACGGCGCACCGCCCGGGUGGGCGUUGUUUUAAGGCCGCAGGGCUUGGGAGGCUUGUGUUGAGUUAAAGGAGUGUGACAAGUUUUCAACUUGGGUGCACACACUGUCCCCGGAAUCCCGCGUUCCAGGGAGGAAGCGCCUUUGACAGCGCGCGCCGGUGCGUGGGGCCCGACGACGUGGGCCCGGGGAUGCGGACCUGGCGGAGAUGCGCGUUGGCUUCGAUUGUAGGCCAUUCCUUUUAGGAGCUGAGAAAGGAUCCAUUUUUACAGCAUUCUCGACCUGUGAUUCUUGGUGGGAGAAACUGUAGUUAUGUGGAUAAAAAUACAGUUAGCAAAAUAAAAAUGACAAUUUUACAUUUCCUU
rnacentral:antisense_RNA from 1 species